CAGAAACUUAAGGAAUUGACGGGGCCGCACAAGCGGUGGAGCAUGUGGUUUAAUUCGACGAUACGCGAGGAACCUUACCUGGGCUCAAAUGUAUGUUGACGUAUUCUGAAAGGGAUACUUCUUCGGACAAUAUACAAGGUGCUGCAUGGUUGUCGUCAGCUCGUGCCGUGAGGUGUCGGGUUAAGUCCCAUAACGAGCGCAACCCCUAUCAUUAGUUGCCAUCAGGUCAAGCUGGGGACUCUAAUGAAACUGCCUACGCAAGUAGUGAGGAAGGUGGGGAUGACGUCAAAUCAGCACGGCCCUUACGUCCAGGGCUACACACGUGCUACAAUGGCCGGUACAAAGGGCAGCUACCUGGUGACAGGAUGCAAAUCUCCAAAGUCGGUCUCAGUUCGGAUCGGAGUCUGCAACCCGACUCCGUGAAGUUGGAUUCGCUAGUAAUCGCGCAUCAGCCAUGGCGCGGUGAAUACGUUCCCGGGCCUU
rnacentral:rRNA from 1 species